rnacentral:misc_RNA from 1 species
GCUACCAAAAUGUUAUGUUACAAAUCCUACUAAAUUUAAGCAUUAAAUGAAGUAACAUGAUUUUUUAAAUACUAUUUAAAGCAGUUACAUUUUUAUUUAGCAAAGUUAAUGUCACAGACAUUGUCAAUCAAUUAAUCACUCAAAUUUUAUUUGUAAAGCCCAUAUUCCUGAAUCACAAUUUUUCUUAUAGGGCUUAACGAGGUGACCAUCCUUU